UACAGAGGUCCCGAGCGUUGUUCGGAUUUAUUGGGCGUAAAGGGUGCGUAGGCGGCGGAGUAAGUUGGGUGUGAAAUCCCGGGGCUUAACCUCGGAAUGGCAUUCAAUACUGCUUCGCUCGAGUACUGGAGAGGAGGCUGGAAUUUACGGUGUAGCAGUGAAAUGCGUAGAUAUCGUAAGGAAGGCCGGUGGCGAAAGCGAGCCUCUGGACAGUUACUGACGCUGAUGCACGAAGGCCAGGGAAGCAAACGGG
rnacentral:rRNA from 1 species